rnacentral:rRNA from 1 species
UGGGGAAUAUUGCACAAUGGGGAAAGCCCUGAUGCAGCGACGCCGCGUGAGGGAAGAAGGUUUUCGGAUUGUAAACCUCUGUCUUGUGGGACGAUAAUGACGGUACCACAGGAGGAAGCCAUGGCUAACUACGUGCCAGCAGCCGCGGUAAUACGUAGAUGGCGAGCGUUGUCCGGAAUUACUGGGUGUAAAGGGAGUGUAGGCGGGAUCAUAAGUUGCGUGUGAAAAGGGCGGGGGCUCAACCCCCGGCAGCUGCGCGCAAAACUGUGGUUCUUGAGUGAAGUAGAGGCAGGCGGAAUUCCCGGUGUAGCGGUGGAAUGCGUAGAUAUCGGGAGGAACACCAGUGGCGAAGGCGGCCUGCUGGGCUUUUACUGACGCUGAGGCUCGAAAGCAUGGGGAGCAAACAGGAUUAGAUACC